AGUCUGGUGGUGAAUCGUCCAUAGUCUGGGACAGGCAGGGGAGCCCAGCGGCAUGCUGGAUAUGAAUGUAUCUUCAGCCUUCAAGUUACCAUUGGCCAGAGGGAAGAGUGGCCCCAAACUCUGAAGAGCGCUGGCAAGGCUCCCCAUCUUCCUCUCCCUAGCCUCCACAGGAACAUCACAGUAUGGCUUGGCAUUUUUUUUUUUUUUUUGAGACGGAGUCUCACUCUGUCACCCAGGCUGGAGUGCAGUGGUGUGAUCUCAGCUCACUGCAAGCUCUGCCUCCCGGGUUCAUGCCAUUCUCCUGCCUCAGCCUCCCGAGUAACUGGGACUACAGGCGCCCGCCACCACGCCCAGCUAAUUUUUUGUAUUUUUAGUAGAGACGGGGUUUCACUGUGUUAGCCAGGAUGGUCUCAAUCUCCUGACCUUGUGAUCUGCCCGCCUCAGCCUCCCAAAGUGCUGGGAUGACAGGCGUGAGCCACGCGCCCAGCCUGGCUUGGCAUCUUUAGGGCAGAUCUCAGUAUGCCUUGCAUUCCAAUUCAUCUCCAGAAUCCUACACUUCCUCCAAGGAGUUGGAAAAAGCUCAUGAUGACUUCAGCGAAGAAUUGCCAAAUCUAGAAAUUAAAAAUCCAAAGUAUUGAUCGCCUGGUGGGCGCCAAACCGUCCACCGCGCUCCGCAGGCCAACUGCGGGCCGGCGCGUCCGCGUCUCUGCAGAUGGGAGACUCACCUGG
rnacentral:lncRNA from 1 species